UCCCCCGGAAGCACAGACGUGGAAGGAGGCUGCUGGAAGGAAGUGUGUGAGAUGAGCUUAUUUGUGAGUGAGCAGGAGGGAAGGGGUGGUGAACUUUCCUCCCAGGACGAGAUGUGUGCCUGCACUUCUCAGCCGUGAGUGUCGGGAACCAGUCCUGGAGAAACAUGACAAAUCGCUUCCCUGCGAAGGCUCGCAAUCUUGGGAUAACUGCAUAGCAGGAAAUAAACAAGACUUGGCUCUAUAUUCGAAGCCUCAGUACAAACAGAACCUAAAAGACAGACAGAAAGAAAAUGAUACAUAUAAAUACAUGCAUGAAAUGGCGGAGGGGAGAAGACUAUCUCAGAAAGAAAACCCAGAAACAUAGUGCGGGAAUGCUCACAAACCCAAAUUAGCUGCAGCUUCAAUACAGUUAACUAUUGUUUCCUUUUGGAAAGAAUUUUAUUAUUCUGUUUUCCUCAUCUCUUCCAAAAGAAAGAGCUUCGAGCAGCAUCUGCAAAUUGCUGGUAGGGAAAUCCUUGAUCUUUACCCCUAUUGAGAUUGUCAAAAGAUACCAAAAGCUGGAAUCUGUGCUUUAUAAAGUUAAUGUUUUCUGGAAAUUGCAGCAAUACAGAAAGCAGCCUUUCCCCUGCUUUCAACAGUGUUUGAGAGGAUUCUGAAACUCUCUGUAGGCGAAAAAGAAGCCACCAAACUGACUCUGUUUCAAAUUUCUACUCUAAGUUAUUUCUCCUGUUCGUGUGAACCCUGGGACAGAACGGGUGUGUAUUCAUUUUAACCUUAGCUCAGAUGGACAGCUCCAGGUGUGUAAGUGGGUUGGUGGUGGCUGCCCAGAGAGGAGGAGAUAUUUCAGAUUUGGUUUCUCCAAGGUUGCACCAUUGAUUGCAUUCCAUGUACAUUAUGAUCCCAAAGUGUGUUUAAUCGAGAGCUACACAACAGUGCAAAGUGGCGGAUGUUAAUGUUGACUAGAACUUAACCUAUACGUUUUGAGUGCCUUCCUGGGGCCUGGAUUUUAACUGAGCAUCGUUAAUGUGAUGAAUUUCUCACUGUUAAUUAAAUGUUAUAAUGAGUCUUCAAUACUUUUAAAACCAGAAGAGAAGUAUUCUGUGAGAAAACUUUAUAUAUGUUUAAAAAACAAAAGAAUUCCAUCUUUCUGUUGACACUUUCCCCACACCUUUGUGCGGCAUUUUCUAAAAGAGAAUAAAAUAACAGCAAAAUGUC